rnacentral:lncRNA from 1 species
AUCAAGGACAACAAGUUCUCUCAUAGCUCUUUGGUCAGUCAUGUUAAACUUAAUAGAAAAGAAAAAAAAUCAACAAAUAAUAAGAAAACACAACUAACUCAGCAAUGCAGCAACAAAUAGGAAAAUAUUGACAAUGUCCCUAUUAAGAAAAAACAAUUGAAAUACGAAAAAAACGAUUAAAAUAAAAUACAAAAAAUACAAAAACAC